rnacentral:rRNA from 1 species
GAAGGUCACGGCGAGACGAGCCGUUUAUCAUUAUGAUAGGUGUCAAGUGGAAGUGCGGUGAUGUAUGUAGCUGAGGCAUCCUAACAGACCGUUAGACUUGAAC